UACGUAGGGCGCAAGCGUUGUCCGGAAUUAUUGGGCGUAAAGAGCUCGUAGGCGGCCAGUUGCGUCCGCUGUGAAAAUCCCGGGGGCUUAACCCCGGGCGUGCAGUGGAUACGGGCUGGCUAGAGGCAGGCAGGGGAGAACGGAAUUCCCAGUGUAGAGGUGAAAUUCGUAGAUAUCGGGAGGAACACCAGUGGCGAAGGCGGCGACCUGG
rnacentral:rRNA from 1 species